AUUAGUUGCUACGCAAGGGCACUCUAAUGAGACUGCCGGUGACAAACCGGAGGAGGUGGGGAUGACGUCAAGUCCUCAUGGCCCUUAUGGGUAGGGCUUCACACGUCAUACAAUGGUCGGUACAGAGGGUUGCCAAGCCGCGAGGUGGAGCCAAUCCCUUAAAGCCGAUCGUAGUCCGGAUCGUAGUCUGCAACUCGACUACGUGAAGUCGGAAUCGCUAGUAAUCGCAGAUCAGCAUGCUGCGGUGAAUACGUUCCCGGGUCUU
rnacentral:rRNA from 1 species